GUGGGGAAUAUUGGACAAUGGGCGAAAGCCUGAUCCAGCCAUGCCGCGUGUGUGAAGAAGGUCUUCGGAUUGUAAAGCACUUUAAGUUGGGAGGAAGGGCAGUAAGUUAAUACCUUGCUGUUUUGACGUUACCGACAGAAUAAGCACCGGCUAACUUCGUGCCAGCAGCCGCGGUAAUACGAAGGGUGCAAGCGUUAAUCGGAAUUACUGGGCGUAAAGCGCGCGUAGGUGGUUUUGUAAGUUGGAGGUGAAAUCCCCGGGCUCAACCUGGGAACUGACUCCAAAACUGCAUGACUAGAGUACGGUAGAGGGUAGUGGAAUUUCCUGUGUAGCGGUGAAAUGCGUAGAUAUAGGAAGGAACACCAGUGGCGAAGGCGACUACCUGGACUGAUACUGACACUGAGGUGCGAAAGCGUGGGGAGCAAACAGGAUUAGAAACCCUAGUAGUCC
rnacentral:rRNA from 1 species